CCUACGGGAGGCUGCAGUGGGGAAUAUUGGACAAUGGGCGAAAGCCUGAUCCAGCCAUGCCGCGUGUGUGAAGAAGGCCUUCGGGUUGUAAAGCACUUUCAGUGGGGAAGAAAGCCUUGGGGCUAAUACCCUCGAGGAAGGACAUCACCCACAGAAGAAGCACCGGCUACACUCCGUGCCAGCAGCCGCGGUAAUACGGAGGGUGCGAGCGUUAAUCGGAAUUACUGGGCGUAAAGCGCGCGUAGGCGGUCUGAUAAGCCGGUUGUGAAAGCCCCGGGCUCAACCUGGGAACGGCAUCCGGAACUGUCAGGCUAGAGUGCAGGAGAGGAAGGUAGAAUUCCCGGUGUAGCGGUGAAAUGCGUAGAGAUCGGGAGGAAUACCAGUGGCGAAGGCGGCCUUCUGGACUGACACUGACGCUGAGGUGCGAAAGCGUGGGUAGCAAACAGGAUUAGAUACCCGGGUAGUC
rnacentral:rRNA from 1 species